rnacentral:lncRNA from 1 species
AUGCUCUACACACUGUACUGCUUUACUCACAGUACUGUACUGUACUCAGUAUUGUACUGUGCUCUACUUACUGUACUGCUUUACUCACAGUACUGUAUUGUACUGUACUCAGUAUUGUACUGCUUUACUCACAGUACUGUACUGUACUGUACUCAGUAUUGUACUGUGCUCUACUUACUGUACUGCUUUACGCACAGUACUGUAUUGUACUGUACUCAGUAUUGUACUGUGCUCUACACACUGUACUGCUUUACUCACAUUACUGUAUUGUACUGUACUCAGUAUUGUACUGUGAUCUACACACUGUACUGCUUUGCACACAGUACUGUACUGUACUCAGUAUUGUACUGUGCUCUACACACUGUACUGCUUUACUCACAGUACUGUAUUGUACUGUACUCAGUAUUGUACUGUGCUCUACUUACUGUACUGCUUUACGCACAGUACUGUAUUGUACUGUACUCAGUAUUGUACUGUGCUCUACACACUGUACUGCUUUACUCACAGUACUGUAUUGUACAGUGCUCUCCACACUGUACUGCUUUACUCACAGUACUGUAUUGUACUGUACUCAGUAUUGUACUGUGCUUUACUCACAGUAGUAUUGUACUGUACUCAGUAUUGUACUGUGCUCUACACACUGUACUGCUUUACUCACAUUACUGUAUUGUACUGUACUCAAUAUUGUACUGUGAUCUACACACUGUACUGCUUUGCACACAGUACUGUACUGUACUCAGUAUUGUACUGUGCUCUACACACUGUACUGCUUUACUCACAGUACUGUAUUGUACUGUACUCAGUAUUGUACUGUGCUCUACACACUGUACUGCUUUACUCACAGUACUGUAUUGUACUGUACUCAGUAUUGUACUGUGCUCUACACACUGUACUGCCUUACUCACAGUACUGUAUUGUACUGUACUCAGUAUUGUACUGUGCUCUACACACUGUACUGUGCUAUCCAUUUGUUUCAAUCCAGUACGUCUGUGGACGUUAACAUCAAGGCCAGGGUGGACUGACCAAAUAUCAACUACUUUUCAAUGUCCAUGGACAUCCAGUGUUGGUCGGUGCUCAGUGGUUGAGGAUGCUUGUUACAGUAAAUAG